ACUCAAAGGAAUAGACGGGGACCCGCACAAACGGUGGAGCAUGUGGUUUAAUACGACGAUACGCGUGGAACCUUACCCAGACUUGACAUGUACCAGAAAUCUCUAUGAAAGUAGAGACCUCCCUUCCGGGACUGGUACACAGGUGUUGCAUGGCUGUCGUCAGCUCGUGUCGUGAGAUGUUGGGUUAAGUCCCGCAACGAGCGCAACCCCCAUUCUUAGUUGCAACAUUCGUCGCAAGAUGAAUGGCACUCUAGGGAGACUGCCGCUGAUAAAGCGGAGGAAGGUGGGGAUGACGUCAAGUCAGUACGGCCCUUACGUCUGGGGCUACACACGUGCUACAAUGGUCGGUACAAAGGGCUGCGAUAUCGCAAGAUGGAGCUAAUCCUAAAAGCCGACCCCAGUUCGGAUUGCAGGCUGCAACUCGCCUGCAUGAAGCCGGAAUCGUUAGUAACCCUAUAUCAGCCACGAUAGGGUGAAUACGUUCCCGGGUCUUGCACACACCGCCCGU
rnacentral:rRNA from 1 species